AUGAUUCAAGAGAUGCUCUUACUCAGAGAGUGUGUCAUACGUUUAGCGAGGGCGUCCCAUAUCAAAAAAGAAAAACCUUCAGUUCAGGAUUCGAAGGAACCGCACGCGGAGGCCAAAGCACACUGCAAGGACGUGGCCUUCGGAUGUCCCGACGGCUACGAGUGCAACACGCCCAAAGAAGGAUGCAGCGGACACUGCGACUGCUAUGACCCUGUAGGAAACGUGACCCUUCCGCAGGGUUGUCCCGUCCGAGUGAAGCCGUGCAAGGAGGGCCACUUCUGCGUCCCGGAGAAGGCCGGCGAGUGCCUGUCCUGCAACUGCGACACACCCUGCGCCCAGGCAACGGGCAUGUUCUCGUGCCAGCCCAAGGAGAACCAGGCUUGCACCAGGCGCCUGGUGCGCGGCAGCUGCCCGGUCUGCCAGUGCGAGACGUGUCCCCCGCACGACUGCCCGAGGGACUGCUACGUCAUCCAGCUGGACGCAGGCUGCAAGCAGGUGUGCAUCUGCACCGCCAAGGACGGCGUGCCCUUCGCCCUGCUCAGUGCCAGCACCGUCCAGUACUAAUAAACGCCGAAACCGUUCCGGAUGCCUCAA